UUUACACGCACAUAUAUAUAUUUAUAUAUCUAUAUUUAAUCCUAGUCAUUUAUUUUCAUCCAUCGGUUGACAAUUUUAUACACUAUUGAAGAUUCUCAUUGUAACCCUCGACGUUACCGUCCUACGCCGAUCAUCGACACCGGUCAUCUUUAUCUCCACUGAUCAUAUUCACCAUCUAGCAGAUUUGCUGUCUUCUCCGACUUUCACUCCUCCUCCGAUUUCGAUUGCCCAAUAUUAUCAAUACAAGAUUCUCACAAAGUGAACACCAUCCAUUUUCAACUUGCAAUAAGUCAACAACAUUGAUCAACUAUUCUAGUUUUUCAUCAGAAAUGGAAGAGACCACCAACACUACUUCAACAGCACAAAGGUGUGCUGUGGUUACCGGGGCCAACAAAGGAAUUGGACUAAAGAUAUGUCGUCAGCUAGCAUCUAAUGGAAUUGCAGUAAUAUUAACAGCCAGAGAUGAGAAGAAGGGUAUUGAAGCUGUUGACAACCUUAAAGUUUCUGGAUUCUCAGAUGUGUUUUUUCAUCAACUUGACGUAAAAGAUCCUGCCAGUUUUGCUUCAUUGGCAAAAUAUGUACAUAACGCAUUUAAAAAAACUUGAUAUCCUGGUGAGAAACAAGAUAUUCCUUACGAAUUAAGUGACUUGACUUUUGCUAUUAAUAUACAUACACAAUGGUUAGCAAGAUGUAUUCAAUUUGAUAACAUAUAAAGAAAUAGAAAAGUGUUGAAUAACAGUACUU